AUUAAUGCUGUGCACAUAUUCUCUCUUGUAGAGACACUGGACUCUGCACUCAGGCACACCAAUCCCUUGAACUUCUAGAUAAGAUAGCCCAAGCAUAUGAAUAAAAGAAGAGGCAGAACAUGUAAAAAAAAAAAUGCUAUUAGAAGAAAAAUGUCGAUUUUUAACCACAAAUUAUAUAUUUUUAACUACAUUAAAGGAGUUUGUGCUGCAGUCGCAUAGUGAGGACCUUAAAACAGUUAUAUGAAAUGUCUACAUGAGGACAGAAAAACAGUGGAACAACAGCCUUUCCUGUUGAUAUACUGUUUCAUCAUGAAUCUGUUAAAAUGACUUAAACAACUUUUGCCCCUGUUAGAUCACCAGAUUGCAUCUCUUUUAUUAUCCAGGCACUCCUCUGACAGAUCAGAAAGGAAAGACAUUAAAGUAAUAUCCAUGGCAGAGAGGAUCCAAGGUACAUAAGAGUCAAAUAUAACAGAGUCUUGGUAAGAGAUAGGAGCUCCAGUAAACUUUAAGUUUUAUGUUUUAAAGUUAUCGUACAACAGUUUACUACCAGUAGCUUGUGUCACAUGUGAGUCAUUUUACAGUUGCCCUAAAGUUAAAGAGUUUAUCAUUCAGGGUCAUUUACCAUAAUUUAAUAUGUUCUGUAUUCAAUGAUUAAAAAAGUUUUAUUAUUUGUUACGCUAUUAAUUAUUUUUAAGCAUCAAAGUGCACUCUGCACCCUCUUCCUCUCUACCAAUCUUUAACACACCAUUCAAUCAGCCUUUUAUUGUGCUGUUGUUCACUCUGGCUCUGUGAAUACAGUCCACAGUCUGUUGCUUCCACCUAUUGCUUCAUAGCCCUGAGUUUCAUAUCUGCUCAUGCCAGUAAUUGUGCAGAGGUGUGUGUAUGUGUAUGUGAGAACGAUGAACGCAACAGUAAAUGUAGACUGGGCUCACGUGCUGAUACUUCCGUACAUCUUGCUGUAGCUCACGUCAUGCUGCGUUUACAGCUAAAACGCAGAAAGCAAAGGGAGUAUCUUUCCUCUCAGUUUGUCUUGACCAUUAUGGUUGACAGAUAGGGGAGUUUCUUUUACCAUAUAAACCCCAUAUAAAAAUCACACUGAGUUCAAGUUUUUCAAAUCACAGGUAAGACUCAGGAAAAGCACAUUUUGAAGUGGUGCACAGAGUUUCUUCUGCAGGCCAUGUGAGGCGUUAAAUACAUAUUUUGUGCAGGGGACAAAAGAGAUGUGCUUGAUGCUGGCCCUACCCUCUGUGUCACUCAGUGUGGAAUCAGGAUGUUGGACAGAGGGGCAGGGCGCUGGGCCUGUUAAAUAUUGACUGCAAAUGUAAUAAUUAACCUUCUACCAACCCCUGAUCUCUUAAACUGGCUGCUUUGCCUCGCUGCCAUAGCUUCGCCGUCAUUGCUGACAUUUACAUCAAAUCGGCCCUCUUUUAGUUCACUGUCAGUAUCGCCCUCUGUGUCUUCAUCUGUCUUGGUCUCGUUUUCUCCGUUUCUACUUUUCUGUAUUUCCCCUCUGCUGCUCUGGCCCGGCUCCCCGUGUCAUGACACCCUGCUGCUCUUCAAACCUUUGGCCUCGUCCUGUGAAAGCUACCGGGCCAUGUUGCAUCUAAAGUUUGCUAUCAGAGAUGAGCCUUCUGGUGCUUGCUGGAUGUAACAGCAACUCCAUGUGGAAGCUGUGUCUGUUCCAGUGGAGGUGCUGUUACGUGUAGAGAGCCACCGAACACAACAUGAAGCCUGAACUCUUUUGUUUUUUUUGUUUUUUUGGGGGGGGGGGUAUUUUACUUCAACUGACUUUUAACUCUUGCUGAGAGAUCACAAAACUCGCUGUUUAAUAAAACAUUUAGUCAUUUUUAUUUUGAAGUAGCUGAAGAGCGAUGGGGCACAAGGUGAUGACCUAUGAAUUGACAGCCAGUGAUUGUAACAUCUGCCUGUCAGUUCUGUAGGCCACUGCUGUGUUUGUCCUCCUGAACGUGUACAGAUACAAACCAGAAGAAGGUCUCAUGGAUGUGUCUACAGCUGGUGCAUCAAUGAGCCAACUGUGACUUUUGUGGCUUCUACAUUCCUUGUUUUUGAAGCAUCUUUUACAAUGAAUAAAGUCUGAAUGUGUCGGUUUGUGAA